ACGGGAAUAGUUCAGUUGGUAGAAUGUCGGUCUCCAAAACCGAAGGUCGGGAGUUCGAGCCUCUCUUCCCGUG
rnacentral:tRNA from 1 species